UAAAGUGUGUCGUGAAAAGCGACACACGGCUUUGGCUGAAAAACGUGAAAAGUAUAUUUUGAAUGCAAGGUCAAAAUUCGUUCGUUGAAAUUUGGUGAAGAAGCCAUUAUCAAUGAAAUUGAAAGCGAUGUGAUCCCACAUGGAUGGAGUUGUGAAAGUCCCUUUACCACCUCUCUCAUUCACUUCAAUUACUGUUACUAGUUUUUCAUUGCUCAUGUGUCAUGGUGAUUCAUGGCCAAGAAUGUUUAUUUGUAGUUUGGAUUCUUUGUGGAUGUCAGUUG